rnacentral:lncRNA from 1 species
GGAAGGGUCUCUUUCUAGAGAUCUCUCCCUUUGGUGUUUUCUACUGAGAGCCUUGGACAUGGGUGAGUAUUUCAUUUUUUAUUAUCUCUUUCCACUAUGAUGAUCUUUCUAACUAUAAACCUGUUAAAUACUAUCCUAACCAUAAUACUCUUCUAAUUGUGCAUUUGUUAAUUGUACAUACUUUAAUAAUGCUUUGGUGUCCUCUGCAAAGCAGUGUGUCUGCAUGUGAGGUGAGGCAUGCUUGUUGCCCCCAGCAGGGUUUAAUUAGUAUUUAUUGCACACAUACCUAAGGCACUGUUGAAUUAAUCUGAAAAAAAUGGGUGAUGCUGUGAGGUGAUUGUGACUGGAAUUAGUCACUGAUGCUUUUACUUACAUUUUGAACAAAUGUUUCCAUGUUUUAGCAUGAAUAUUAAUGCUUUGGGUUUGAUUUCACUUGCGGGAGAGAAAAGUUACUCUUCUUUAGUGAGCACCAAAAUAACAAAUUGCUUCAAAUGAAUCACCUUCUCCUACACCUUUAGCACAUGAAAAAUGUCCACAACAUUCUGCGUGUCAAAUGUCCCCCUGUGUUUUUACCUGCUUACUGAACCAGGGAACUCUGCCUUUGAAGGUGUAGGAGCUUCUUCGUGUAGCCGAGGGGUCUGGCUGCUUGCAGCAGAGCAGAAGCGUACCUGAGCCCUGUGUGCCCCUGAAUGGAAGCAGGGGGCCGCUCUCAGUAGCUACAAACACUUGUGAAACUGCAAAGCAGAUGUUUGUAUUAUCUAAUGAGUCCCAAGCGAUCUUAAUUGGCAGUUUUGAGAUGUUGCUGUUUCAAAGAUGCAUCUGACUACACACAGGUGCUGUAUUCGCGCACAGCUGCUUUUGGGGGCUGUGUCCAUCUAAGGAGUAUUUCUCAGCUGUGACUGUAGCAGGGAAAUGGCUGUGGGCUGCCUCACACAGUCCCAGCCCUGCCCUGCACGCCCUGGAGCUUGCAGCCAAGCCCCUUUGGCAGCAAUGACACUGAGCUGCAGACGUGAUUCUAGAUGCAGCAAUGGGACCAUGUGGGAUGCUUGGUGCCAGCUGGGUUGGGAAGAGCUGCUCUUGCCACGAAUGCUACAGAAAGAUUUUGGAGUCACUGUGUCAGCUGUAUCUGUCAACACACCUCUGUGAAAGUGAUACCAGCACAUUCACAGCUUCAGAGGCAGCCUCAUAAAUUGCCAUGCUCAGCAAGUUAUGGGUGUUACUGCAUGAACUUCUAAUGAGGUAUCUUAUGGAAAUGCAUCAGAGACUGAGUUGGACUCACUAUCAGAGCAGUCCAUCGAGGACAGAAAGUGCUGCCAUCCAACAUCAAAUGAACAGCACCUGCACAACUGUUCAUAUUCACAGAUGAGUCCAUUUUAAACUCAUUCUGAGAAUGCUGAAUUUGAUAGUUUAAGAGCUAAUUUAAUGUUGUUCAUGAUCAUCUAGCAGUGGACGUCAAAAGAAGACUGAAAAUACACGAUAACAUUGGCAAGCAAAUGCUGAAAUCUCAUAGAUUCUGCAAGGCUAGAGAGGGAUCACAGUAAUGAUUCUUCAGAAGGCUGACAGGAGAAUUAACAGUCUUUUUUCGUUUCUUGAUAAGAAAGUAAAUAGAUAAUUUACAAAAUAAAGUGUACAGGAAAGAAGAUCCA